AGGUGUGUGUAGGUGUGUAGGUGUGUCCUGUAACUGGUGCUCAGGUGUCUUGAUAAGGGACAUUAAAGUCCAAAGUCUCUCUCUGGUACUUCACUUCAUCCUUGUGUUGUGACGCAGAUGUUUCCUCCAGCUUAAACUUUUGGUGAGGACUCUGCUAUGAGUCAGUGUGAGGACAGAGAGGAGGGAGCCCCUCCCUCUAAAACCACUCUGGGUGGGGACCAUGACAGCCAGACCAAAGCUCAGAGGAUGCAGCAACAAAAACCUGGACCUGAACCCAGCUGUGUGUCCAUGAAGAGUGACUGGUCUAUGGGUCAUCCUAUUGAGUUUAAAGAUGGACAAGCUGCUGA